GAUGAAGAACGUAGUGAAAUGCGAUAAGUAGUGUGAAUUGCAGAAUUCCGUGAAUCAUCGAAUCUUUGAACGCACAUUGCGCCUUCUGGUAUUCCGGGGGGCAUGCCUGUCCGAGCGUCAUUACAACCUUCAAGCACGGCUUGGCUGUUGAGCGGUCUGUUUUGAUGAACAGGGCUCGAAAUGCAGUGGCGACGGCGAGAUUGGUGCCCGAGCGUAUGGGGCUCUGUCACACGCUCUGGUGGCUCCACUCACAGUCUGCCAUACACAAAUCAAAUCUGAUUGACCUCGGAUCAGGUAGGAACACCCGCUGAACUUAAGCAUAUCAAUAAGCGGAGGA
rnacentral:misc_RNA from 1 species